CGAGGGGCUCUGUCAGCGCUAAGCUCAGGUGUGGUAUCUGCUCUUAUCAGUUUCAUAUCUGAUACGUCCUCUCGAUGAGAGGACUGCAUAUUAAACGGAGUUCUGAACUCGGGAGUUGGACCCGGAGCUUGGUCCCUCCGCUCCGCGAUCGUCCCGGUAUCGCAGUGCCCCCGGGAACAACAGAUGUUCU